AGUGAACGCUGGCGGUAGGCCUAACACAUGCAAGUCGAACGGCAGCACAGUAAGAGCUUGCUCUUACGGGUGGCGAGUGGCGGACGGGUGAGGAAUACAUCGGAAUCUACUUUUUCGUGGGGGAUAACGUAGGGAAACUUACGCUAAUACCGCAUACGACCUACGGGUGAAAGCAGGGGAUCUUCGGACCUUGCGCGAUUGAAUGAGCCGAUGUCGGAUUAGCUAGUUGGCGGGGUAAAGGCCCACCAAGACGACGAUCCGUAGCUGGUCUGAGAGGAUGAUCAGCCACACUGGAACUGAGACACGGUCCAGACUCCUACGGGAGGCAGCAGUGGGGAAUAUUGGACAAUGGGCGCAAGCCUGAUCCAGCCAUACCGCGUGGGUGAAGAAGGCCUUCGGGUUGUAAAGCCCUUUUGUUGGGAAAGAAAAGCAGCAGGUUAAUACCCCGCUGUUCUGACGGUACCCAAAGAAUAAGCACCGGCUAACUUCGU
rnacentral:rRNA from 1 species